UACGGAGGAUGCAAGCGUUAUCUGGAAUGAUUGGGCGUAAAGCGUCCGCAGGUGGCUGUGUAAGUCUGCUGUUAAAGAGUGAGGCUCAACCUCAUAAAGGCAGUGGAAACUACAUGGCUAGAGUGCGUUCGGGGCAGAGGGAAUUCCUGGUGUAGCGGUGAAAUGCGUAGAGAUCAGGAAGAACACCGGUGGCGAAAGCGCUCUGCUAGGCCGCAACUGACACUGAGGGACGAAAGCUAGGGGAGCGAAUGGG
rnacentral:rRNA from 1 species